rnacentral:rRNA from 1 species
GACGAACGCUGGCGGCGUGCCUAACACAUGCAAGUCGAACGCGUCUGUGCUUCGGCACAGAUGAGUGGCGAACGGGUGAGUAACGCGUGAGUAACUCCCCUUGGGGAGGGGGAUAACCAUCUGAAAAGGUGGCUAAUACCCCAUAUUCUCUUUUCUCAUAAGAGGAAGGAGGAAAGGUGGCGCAAGCUGCCACCCCGAGAGAGGCUCGCGUCCCAUCAGCUAGUUGGUAGGGUAAUGGCCUACCAAGGCUAUGACGGGUAGCUGGUCUGAGAGGAUGGUCAGCCACACUGGGACUGAGACACGGCCCAGACUCCUACGGGAGGCAGCAGUGAGGAAUCUUGGGCAAUGGGCGAAAGCCUGACCCAGCGACGCCGCGUGGAGGAAGAAGGCCUUCGGGUCGUAAACUCCUGUUUGGGAGAAGAACAAGAGAGAAGUUAAUAGCUUCUCUCUCUGACGGUACUCCCCGGAGAAAGCUCCGGCUAAUUACGUGCCAGCAGCCGAC